UCUUUCUCCUUUCUUUUGCUAGUUGCUGAACAUCCUUCAAGCACUUCAGUGUUGACAGCAGGACAGCUGGGGGGAAGUCACCCUGCUUUUAUUCCCAGCAUGAUUGCUCCUGAUGAAUAAAGGGGAAAAAUACUGGGGAUUCCUUUAUUUCCUGGGAGUUUACUUAGCCUUUUCUAGAAUGGGGGUUAAAGUGACUGUGACUUCCAAGGGGGCAUGAGUAAAGUCCCCCCAGUUUUUUUUUUUUAGCUCAUCUUAAAAAAUCCCAGUGACUUAUAGGUUAGAACUGGAAACCACUUUGAAUAUGACAGUUUUGUUACAGCUAAUCAAAUAUUCUGUAUCAAGUUCUGAAAUUUCUUGUCUAAAUAGACUUCAUUGCUCAAAUUGCAGCCUAAAUCCCAUUACCACUGCCUCAGACCUGUACAGAGUAAGGUGCUUCUCCCUCCCGUGGGUUCCUGUGGUUCCGGCAGACCUGACUCCCUCUGGGUCUGCAUCCUGCAUGCUGAACAUGUGCCUUUGCUUGGUUCUUCCUCUAUGGUUAUUUUCUUACAUCUCUAAAUAAAAUCUAAAUUUUUGAAUUCCAAGUUUAUGCUUGGGGCCACUCAUGACUCUUGCCCUGCAUGUUGCAGGGAAUAGCUGUUGUGAAACAGUAAUCUGUGUACUGAUUUUUUUUUUUUUCUGAAGGUGGACUCCAAAUCCAUGCAGUCUAUGAGAAUAUGUCCAUUUACUUUUCUGAAUUCCUUCCUCUGCCAUUUUACAUAUUAGGGGAUGUUAAGCUUCCAAAUGGUUUUGAACCCAGCACCUCAGUGGAUGAUUGGAAUAAGAUUUGAGUGCCCCACACAGCUUCAUGUGUUGAAAUCUAGUCCCCAAGGUACAGUAUUAAGAGGGUAGAAAUCAUGGUGUUUAGAGGCAGGGCCUUUAAGAAGUGAUUAGGAUUAGAUAAAACCACCAGGGAGGAGUCCACAUGAUUGAAUUCUGGUUGCUUUAAAAGAAGAGAGGGGAAACCAGACAAGGCAGGCAAAUGAACUCCUUGUUUUUCACUAGAUGGUACAUUUUUAUGUCUUGGGACUUUGCCCAGUGAGACAGCCAUCACCAGACGUAGCAUCUCAACCUUGGAACAGAACGUCUCUCCCCAGCAAGCGUUAUUACUUUGCGGUGCUCAACAGGAGUUGAUGGGCAGCCUCCACAUUUCUCCUCGGCUUCACUGCCUCGCAGACGGACUUCUUCAUUAAAGGCCACACCACAGUUCUCCAGGCUUAAUGGGCAUAAAUAUAGCUGCUCAAAGAGGGGAAGCACUUUUCUGUCCAUGAAGAUAUUACAUCCAAGAGACGAAAGGAAAACCUGCUAAUUGAGAAUCGCACUUCAGUUUAAUUACACAGAUGCUAAAAUAAUGUAACUGAAGCGCCUUAAAAAUAUAAUUAUCCACUAUGCAAUGCUUGAGAGCCUGCUUUAUCUUUUUGCGUUUAAUGUACAUGAUCAAGAAAGAGCCAACAAAAGAAUCAUUCCUGGGUAAUUUGGGAAACUGGGACAUGUUUGGGUUUGAAAGAUGUUUCAGAAAGCGUCUUGCAUUUGGAGGGAAUCAUCAAAGGUAUUUUGUGAGCAACUAUACAUAAAAUCCUUCUUCUCUACCUGUAUGUUCUUCAAAGGCACUUGGGAUUAAAAUAAUAAAUUUUAGGGUAGCUUGAAACUGUGUCCAAUUAUCUCCUCCAAUACCACAAAGAGUGAGGACUGCUGUAUGUUUGGAAAGAAAAACAUACUGUCUUUGUAGUGUGCCUUGAAGAAGGUUUAGAAAGUGCUUCUGAUUGACUAAAUAUUCCUUCUACCCUUUCCUUCUUUACCUUUUAGCUAUAUUGUUGAAUAUAUUAUUAGACAGUGCUGGCUUUGCAUAGAAUGCUAACCUCUCAAAACACUCUGCUCAAAAAUAAACCUGAUUGUGUAUUGCUUC